GUAAUGAGAUUUAAACCAAGGACUUUUACCUUCCCCGGUACUAUAUUGAGAAAAUAGACAUUAUGUGUAAUUAAACCCUAAAAGUUAGCUCGAUGAGGAUUCACGGCUAUAUAAGGAGACUACAGCGUAUGCAUUUAGCUGAUAUAGACUCUGAUGUACUAAAGAAUUUGUUUUUCUGCUGGCCUUUUGUCUGAAUUAGUUCAAU
rnacentral:misc_RNA from 1 species